UCACCAUCAGGCAGCUCCAGAAUGUUCCUUGGCUCCCACAUCACUGAGUCAAUCUGCGGCCCAAUCCAGGACAACGGGAGCCCAUGGUCAGGAGACAAGGAAAGUUCUGGAAGUCUGGGGUGUCCUUUGCCUACACAGAUGCCUGCCCUGCACAAGUCCUAUCAGAGCCUUGCUACUCCGCUAACCUUUGAAAGCAUCCUCGUGCACAGUUAAUAAACAGGGAUGUUUCAGAUUUUAGCUGAACCCACGAUCAUCCAGAACAAAGCCAUUUUGCAACCUUGCCUGCAUCACAGCUGGACCGAAAAGAAGACUGGGAAGCAAGACAGAUGAAGCACAUCUCUUCCUACAGAACUCCUUUCUAUGUUUGUUGAUUUCACAUCAAUUACCAGCCUCCCUUUCCUCAUCUCCCAGUUCCCCACAGGAAUAUUUAUGUCUGUUUUAUUGUGUUUUUAUGUUUGCAAAUACAGUAAAACCUUGGAUUGUAAGUAACUUGUUCUUCAAAUGUUCUCCAAGAUGAGCAAGCAUUUCUAAUAAAUUUUAACUUGAUAAACAAGUGAUGUCUUGCAAUACGAGUAGUAUGUGACACUGAACAUCACAUGAUCACAACUGAGCCAAUGGUUCUUCUCUCCUGUCUCUUUC